rnacentral:lncRNA from 1 species
UUGGCUCCUUCCUUGCAUGCCUGCGCACCACCAUUCUGAUGCUUCUCCGUGGCCUACUCCGGUCUCAUCUUGUUCUCUUCUUCUGCAGCUACUUCGGCCGGCUUCAACGCGUCUAGGUUUAGCUCGGCCACCGAUCUUGAAGCUUUUGAGUUUGGGAUCGACAGGCUCUGCCACCAUUGCUGUUCUUAAUGCGUAUUAACCGGAUCUUCCCAGUUAAGGUGAGUUCUCGCUGUAGUUCGUGUAUCUUGCUUUCUCUCUUUAAAUAUAAGCUAAGUAAACAAAGAAGAAUCAAAUCCUGGAAUUGGCUCAAAGUCCUGCAAAUGAUUGAUGAACUCUUAUCGAUGAUCACGGUGAAUAAUUCUGGAAUUAACUUCCUUCAAGCUGGUCUCUGGCGGUCGGCUCUUCUUCGAUUGCCAACCAAGCGCUGCAUACGUUAUACGAUGCGGUGGCUAACCAUGGAGUAGCUUGUGGAGACUCAGAACACUAACUUAGCCCAUGAGCCAAGUCCAACGCCCUGUAUACAUUGGUGGGCUGUGGCGUAUCGUAAGACGACAGACUUGUGGAGACUGGAGGUGAGCAAUCAAUCUAUAGACUACGGAGAUUGAAGCUAAAGGAGACGGCAGUCUAUAACAAAUUAUGGCGCAAUUUCCAGGACUUAAAUUACCUGUCUACUUACCAUCAAAUCAAAUCUCAAUCAACAACUUCUCCAUCCAUGGAUCGUAGAAGAACCACUAUAGAUUGUCUUUUACCGCCAUGAUCUCUUCCACCGAACAUGUUUCUUUGUUGCGCCUUCCAAUACGUGGAAAACUAUGGAAGAUGUCCAUCCCAUAUGAACCGGGAGAAGCCCAGACAAUAAAAUGUACAGUAAAUACAGAAUCAACUGGAGCCCGAUAUUGCCGUCUCCUGUUGCCCCUUGACAUUAUUAUCGUCCUCGCAUUGUCAACACGACGUCCAUCUUUUCUUGCUCCCACGACUGUAUCUAUGAUGUUGACAAAGAGAUGCCCACACUCUCAUCGUUGGCAUGGCGACGGCCCACCGUAGACUGCAGCAACUCCACUCUUUGCCAGCCAAAUAACAAGGAUAACUUUAUAUUUACUUUUUACGACAUUAACUGUGCUCGGUUGAUCUUUUUUAACUUCUCUUACGAGGGAGGAUUCAUCAGAAUCUGCUCGUGCUAUGGCUCUUAUUCUGAUCGAAUCUGUCAUGUCCCUACUUGGAGUAUGCGAAGUAGAAAGCGUUUGCGGGGGCAAUGGCGAGCUAGCCAGUGGACAAUUCAUCGAACAUAAUUAACGCAUGGCCAAAAAGAGAUCCACGUGAACUAGUUGAGCCCAUCGAUUUAGCUGCCUGCCUAAUCGACAUCCGGGUCUCACAUUAUUAGAUUUAAUGUCUCAAGGGAAUCUUAAUCGGGUUGCUGUCACGGAGCACCCAUGCUCCAGUUCAAUAAUCUAAAUGCUACCAUUGGUUGGAGAAGUAACUACGACUGAGAUGAUCUUGCGCUUGAUUUCUGCUGAGUUUGAUUUAAUUAGUCCUGCUAACGACUGUUCCAUUCCUCUGAAAUCUAACGCAGUUCAUCCAAAGCGGCAGGGCAAUAUUUUAGACAGCAGUGAUAGAUAGCACUGAGAAGCCUUUGGAGUUAGAAGAUUACAGAGGAUCUCCGUUGUUGAAGGUAGGUAGCUAAAUGUUUGGAAGAUGCUGGCCAUCUUUGACGGCUACCUCCGGCCUCGGUACCAUCCCACAUGAUCGACGCCCCCAAGCGGGUGCUCGAAGAGGACACAUGAGUCGGUACGAAGUGGUAAGGGUCAAGUGGGAUUUGGAGCAUUCCUUGUCUUCGUUCCUCCGAUGCUGAGAACAAUAGAUAUGGGAAGAUGCUGGUGCUCGAUCAUGCGGCCACAUCAUGACAUGUUUGGGGGAUUAUCGAGCUAGGCUGUUUCCAAGGAGGGAAGGACGGUGAGAUCCAGACAUGACAAGACAACUGCAUUCGUUUUUGGGUAAAGCUGCAUGCUCACCAAAGAGUCGAUUGAUUCCAGCACGUGAUUCUUUAUAUCCUCUUGCUAGAGUGGACCAUCCAUCCACGUGAAUGAUUGACAGAAUACUCCACUGGUUGAGCAAAAAAAUAACAUCUUCAGCAGGAGGUGAAUGAUUGACAAUAUACUUCACUGAUCGAGAAAAAUAGCAUCUUUAAGAUCCUACAAUUCAUUUGAUUUAGACCUGAAUCUUAUUAUAUAGAGGAGGAAGAGAGUGUCA